rnacentral:rRNA from 1 species
UACGAAGGGGGCUAGCGUUGUUCGGAAUUACUGGGCGUAAAGCGCACGUAGGCGGUUAUUCAAGUCAGAGGUGAAAGCCCGGGGCUCAACCCCGGAACGGCCUUUGAAACUAGAUAGCUAGAAUCUUGGAGAGGUCAGUGGAAUUCCGAGUGUAGAGGUGAAAUUCGUAGAUAUUCGGAAGAACACCAGUGGCGAAGGCGACUGACUGGACAAGUAUUGACGCUGAGGUGCGAAAGCGUGGGGAGCAAACAGG